UUCAGGAUCAGCAUGACGACCAUGGAGAGGACAUAAAUGCUGGCAUAGUACUGCCUGUGAGGAUUGUCCUUCAUGCUGCUGCUCACGAAGGGAAAAAGAUUGGAAAACACUGCUUUGAAACUGGGAGGAGGCCACUGAAGACUCCAUGCAGGAAGGAAGAACACAGGCGUCCCUGCAGCUGGACCGCCUCUGCCGUGGUGGGAACUGAUUUUUAAAAGGCACAGCUCCUUCAAGAACUCCACCUCCUGGCCCCAGCCUAACUGCAAGCUCCUCUCCUAUUCCUGGGGCUCCCACUCUCAUGC